rnacentral:rRNA from 1 species
UACGUAGGGUGCGAGCGUUAAUCGGAAUUACUGGGCGUAAAGCGUGCGCAGGCGGUUUUGUAAGGCAGAUGUGAAAUCCCCGGGCUUAACCUGGGAACUGCGUUUGAAACUACAAGGCUAGAGUGUGGCAGAGGGGGGUGGAAUUCAACGUGUAGCAGUGAAAUGCGUAGAGAUGUGGAGGAACACCGAUGGCGAAGGCAGCCCCCUGGGUUAACACUGACGCUCAGGCACGAAAGCGUGGGGAGCAAACAGG